UUUUCUGUUCUGGGCAGCGAGGGCUGCCAGACAGACCUCAGCCAAACUUGCACACCUCCUCCUCGCCCCACCCCUUACACCCUCAUCGGCCACACCCGCGCGGCCUGACUCGCUCCGGCGCACCCGUGUUUUGGGAAGCUUCUGAAGAGAGAGCUUGGUGGUCUAAGGAUGCUGUUCCCUUCCUUCCCCGAGACCUUUGGUGCCAUCUGGACGGAGGAGCCCAGACUUUUAUGAACAGAAUAAGGGGAAAUCCCCUAGAGAAGUCCGCACUGUUCCCCGAUCUCUUCGGCCACAUUUUGGGGGAAAGUGGAAACGCCCAAGGUUGUUGUACCCAGCGCGGGCUGAGGUUUUCCAGGAUCCCGCAAAGAGGCAAGGAGUUGGUCUCUCCGGUGGUUUAAAUGCGGCCGAAGGAGCUACUAUUCCUGCUGCCCGGUCCUACUCUCCAGGUCUUCCUUGAGCCUUGGAACCUCCCACCUGGGUCCUGCCCUGGAUCCUGGCAGGCAGAUACUCUCAUCCGUGAGUCAGGCCUCCUCAGACCCAGCUCCUCUCCUCCACCUGAGACCAAGAAUUCCUGACACCAGCAGUUGGAACAGCCUCAACUCCAGCGUCGUUUCUUCUUGUCAUCUCUGUUUCCGAGUCCUGGGCUCCAAGCCAGGGCGUGAUCCACCACUAGGGCCUCUCCCUCUACCAUAAACGACCAUGCUCCCUCGUGUCCCCUCCCUGGCCUGGGGUUGCCAAACAGAACGGGCAUGCUGACUCAAAGCUGGCCCAAGCAUCCAGGUUCUGCCAGAAAUGAGGAGCAACCUGGGAUAAACUGACGAUGUCGAGUGUGUGGCACUGAUAACUGCCUGCCGAGGGUUCUGAGCUAGAGUUUGCCCGCCCAUAGCCGUUUUCUCUACGUCUGACGUACCCUGGUGGCCACAGAGGCUCUUGGUCUAAGGGCACACUCCUGCUUUUGUGAAAUUCCGUCCGGAAGGUCCUGUCCCAGGUCCAGCUGCCUCAAUAGGAAACAGGAAGUUCAUCUGCCCAAAGAGAUGGGGAUGACAAGGAAAGCUCUCAGACCGUCCUUGAUGUCACUCACGGGCAAGGAUCAGAUCCCAGCAUGGGCUACAAGGUUGCAAGGAUCAGAUGCCAGCAUGGGCUACAAGGUUGCAAGGAUCAGAUGCCAGCAUGGGCUACAAGGUUGCAGCCCCCCUGAUAAUCUUAGGAUAGCACGGGGUCCUUGAGGGGGUUUUCUUUUCUUUUCUCUUUUGGUUUUACAAGACAGGGUUUCUCUGUGUAGCCCCAGCUGUCCUGUAACUCACUUUGUAGACCAGGCUGGCCCCAAACUCGUAGAGAUCUGAACCUAUCGAGAUCUGCAUGCCUCUGCUCCUGAAUGCCGGGAUCAGGCAUGUGCUCCCACACCCAGCAAUUGAGGAUAUCUUCCUGAGAUUAUGUUAAUCAGCAUUCAUAGUGAAUGGAACUGAGUCAGCUUUAAUGUGGGUGUUCAAUGUUCUCCUCCGCUUACCCCAGCCGCAGCAAGUGGAGUGCUUCAUGCUUCGUGAGUCCUGAGGAAAGUGUUCCAUAGCUAUGUCCUCUAAUCUGAAAAAUUCCCUCUUGGAGGGAGAAAGAGGGUUGGAAGACUCAGGAAGCUAAAGAAACUUGCAAGGCUCAGGAAGUCACAAAAUUUUACAAGGCCUCUCCCAGGUUUCUCUAUUCAGUGAACACAUCGGCAGAGGGAGAGGGGGCCCUGGUGGAGCUGCUGCAAGUUCUUCAGGGAGUCUUUAUGAACCCUUACCCAGGCUGGGGAGGUGACCCAGUGACCCAGUGGCCUCUGGCUCACCUGUGACUCUGGUAAGUUCACCAGUUCACCGAAUGAAAACUUCUAUUUUCUUUUCUUUUUAAAGAUUUAUUUAUUAUAUAUAAGUACACUGUAGCUAACUGUCUUCAGACACACCAGAAGAGGGCAGUGGAUCUCAUUACAGAUGGUUGUGAGCCACCUUGUGGUUGCUGGGAUUUGAACUCAGGACUUCUAGAAGAGCAAUCAGUGCUCUUCACCGCUGAGCCAUCUCUCCAGCCCUUCUUUUUUCAAUAAGUAUUUGUUAAAGAGUCUCUCAUCCACUGGGUACAUAGAAACAUAGGGAUGAAUCAUCAGUGUUCAAAAUACAUUAAAAAAUGAAACAAACAAACAAACAAAAAAACCCAAAGCCUCCCCCUGCUGUCAUGGAGCUCAGAUUUUUAACGGAAAGAAGAGAGCUACUGUAAUAAACACAAGGCGUGAUCCCAGUGGAAUCAGUGUGAUAACCACGAGGUGAAGCAGGAAGAGGACGGGCUUAAAGUGGGUUGUUGGGGCAGGCUCGUGUGGGAAGGUGGCUCUGAGGAGACUCAAGGAAGUGAGAGUGUAGGGCACAGGGAGGCCUGGAGCCAAGGAUUCAGGGUAGAGGGAGCAGGCUCAAGGAGAGUGGCACACUGGAGAAAUGCAUGGCAGUGUCAUGAUGGCAGUUCACAGAGAGUCAACAGGUCUGAGGCCUGUUAGGGCUCGCAAGUGCUUCUAGCUUCCCUGGAAGUAACACCUCAACGGAGUCACACGGGAAAGCCUCUGGUAGCUGAAAGAAGUCAUCAUGGACGGAUGAGCAGGGCAAACAGGAAGCCUGAGGGAAGAGGGUCCUGCCACCAGGUCAUUCACAGGGGUGAAAGGUGCCUGGGCCUCUCAGGGUUCUCUGCAUAUGAAAGGUGAUAGAAUCCAGGAAGUUUUCAGGAGCAGAGCCACUCGUGGCUAGAGAGAAGGCUUGGCUACUGAAAGGUUGAGAGCAUGUGUCACUCUUGCAGAGGACCUAGGUUCCACGGGAUCUGAUGUCCUCUUCUGGCCUCUGCAGGUGCCCACAUGAAGACAUGCUCUCUCUCUCUCUCUCUCUCUCUCUCUCUCUCUCUCUCUCUCUCUCUCACACACACACACACACACACACACACAAAUAAAUGUGGUUUGUUUUUGUUUAA